rnacentral:rRNA from 1 species
UACGUAGGGCGCAAGCGUUGUCCGGAAUUAUUGGGCGUAAAGAGCUCGUAGGCGGUGUGUCACGUCGGCCGUGAAAACCUGCAGCUUAACUGUGGGCGUGCGGUCGAUACGGGCAUCACUGGAGUUCGGCAGGGGAGACUGGAAUUCCUGGUGUAGCGGUGAAAUGCGUAGAGAUCAUGAGGAAGACCAGUGGCGAAGGCGGGUCUCUGGACAGUUCCUGACACUGAGGCACGAAGGCCAGGGGAGCAAACGGG